rnacentral:rRNA from 1 species
UUCUUCGGAAGUGAGUAAAGCGGCGGACGGGUGAGUAAUACGUGAGUUAUCUGCCUUUUAGUGAAGAAUAUUCUUGAGAAAUUAAGGUUAAUACUGCAUAAGUCCCUUCGGGGAGAAAGAUGGCCUCUUGCUGUCGCUAAAAGAUGAGCUUGCGCGCUAUUAGCUUGUUGGUGGGGUAAAGGCCUACCAAGGCGAUGAUGGCUAGCCGGCCUGAGAGGGUGUACGGCCACACUGGAACUGAGACACGGUCCAGACUUCUACGGGAGGCAGCAGUGAGGAAUAUUGCGCAAUGGGCGAAAGCCUGACGCAGCGACGCCGCGUGGGGGAUGAAGGCUCUAGGGUCGUAAACUCCUGUUAAGUGGGAAGAAAAGCUGAAUCCUAAUAAGAUUCGGUACUGACGGUACCAUUAGAGAAAGCACCGGCUAACUUCGUGCCAGCAGCCGCGGUAAUACGAGGGGUGCAAGCGUUAUUCGGAAUCAUUGGGCGUAAAGGGUGUGUAGGCGGCAUAUUAAGUCACUUGUUAAAUCCUUCGGCUUAACCGAAGACCAGCAAGUGAAACUGAUAAGCUAGAGGAUGGAAGAGAGAAGUGGAAUUCUCGGAGUAGCGGUAAAACGCGUAGAUCUCGAGAGGAACACCGAUGGCGAAGGCAGCUUCUUGGUCCAUUUCUGACGCUGAGACACGAAAGCGUGGGUAGCAAACAGGAUUAGAUACCCUGGUAGUCCACGCUGUAAACGAUGAUCACUAAACGUCAUUUCUGUUUUACGGAAUUGGUGUUGCAGCUAACGCGUUAAGUGAUCCGCCUGGGGAGUACGGUCG